rnacentral:miRNA from 1 species
CGGAACCGGAAUCGCCUUG